AUGGGUGUUGCGGGAGGAAAACAAGAAGGGGGAAAAAAAAAAAAAAAAAAAAAAAAAAAAAAAGCAGUUGUUAAAAAGCUGAGGGAUCGUACGAUCGCAGAAUCGCGGAAUGGUUUGGGUUAGAAGGGACCUUAAAGGUCAUCUCCUUGUGCAGGGACACCUUUCACUACCGCAGGUUGCUCCAAGCCCCAUCUUCAAACACUUCCAGCCACUUCGCAGCUUCUCUGGGCAGCCUGUGCCUGAGCCUCACCGCCCUCACAGGCACACUCACUGCUUGGAAACAACCUGCUGCAGAUUACAGGGGGACAUCAGACAGUGAAUUUUAACGUGUGUGGAACUGGGACAAUCUGUUGGAUGUGAGGAGCUUCUCGGUGAUGUUUGUGCCUGGAGAUGAGAGAGGUGUUUUCUGUCAUUCUCUCCGUGCUGGGCUGUGCUCCUGUGCCACCCCAGAACAGGCCACCACCCUGAGCUGGAACGUCCUUUGAGCAGCCCAGCUGCUCAGUCCUGCUGCACUCCAGGCCUCCAAGUGCAGAAGGAACAAGAGGGAUGCAGGAAAAGCAACAGAAACCCUCAGGAACCAGUGGUGCAGGGAUUUCCUUCCAGCACCAAGACCUGUCACACAUGAAAGCCGUGUGGAAAAUGUUCUUCCUGCUUUUUAAUCUGUAACCUCUGUGUGUGUCUGGGGUUUGUUCUGGUGUGCAGAGGUGGCUGUGCCUGGCCAGACAAGCCCAAUUAACACCUCAGCUAAUUAGAGAGCUAAUUAGAACCAGCUAAUAGGAAACACCAGACCUUGGAAGUGAGGGGGGAUUUGGGGUAUUUGACAGUGACCCCACAUCACAGAGUGCUCAUUUUAUUUUUCUCACCUACAGCCACAGAAGAAGGAUUUCCUCUGCUCACCUGAGGUGUACUGUGAUCCCUGCUAACAGAACUUUUGUCUUAGCAGGGAUAAGGAACAUAGAAAAUAGGUCAGCUCAUGACUGAGUCUGGUGAUCUGUGUGACAGAUCUGUGGCAUUCUGUCCUUUUUGAAGAUGAAUUUUUGAAACUCAGUUCCAGUAAUCCAGACUUCCCUUUCUACCCCUUUGAAGAGAGGUGCUAAGCAGAUGAAGAUGCCCGAAAAGGACUUUAGUAGUGGUUUGUAUCACUCAGCAAUGCUGGCAUAAAUCAGAUUGCUGCUACAGACAUCAGAUGCUGCUCACUGUUUGAAGGGCACUAACACCAGAGUUUCAAAGGGAUGUGAUUUGCAUCAUCAGGGCAAGAUGUUUUCCUUCUCUUGGGGUAGACCUGUGUUUACUGCAGCCCUGCAGUUUUCACCUGCAGCUGCUCUGAACUGGCUGCAGCCCCUGGAUGUUUCUCCAUCACAUGAAUCAUUCUAGAGAUUUAAGAUACAGUUGUAUUCCAGCCAGCUGUUAUCAAAUACCCACACUUCAAAUGGGUUUCAAUUGUCAUGGAGCUGUUUUACCAGUUUAAUCUCCACAGGAGAAACUUUCCUGUUGCUUGUGAAACACCCUGAAAUCCUCUGGCAGCGUUGAAGUGAGAGAGAACACAGCGUGUGAUGUGCAACGUGCUGCUGAACACCCAGAUAAGCUGUCCUGGACACACCUGCCACCCAAGAAUGAUGUUCCCCUGCACCUUUUAUCCACCUUUCUCAACCCCAAACCCCAAACAAAUCAAUCCAAACUGCUUA